CCCGCAGCCUCGCGCAUGCGCGUAGCUCCCUGGGCGCUUCGAAGAUCCAGCGGCUUGCCGUGAGUCCGGGAGGCAAAAUUGUACCCAUUUCAAAGAUGUGAUGACUAAAGUCUCGAGAGGGCCAAGGCUCGCCCAAGGUUGCUCUGUGGUGACAGCUUUACCUCCUUGCUAUGUAUUCUCAGAUAUUGCAAACGGACGAGAGAAAAGUCGAGAAUGAAUCCUGGAGAAAACAAGGUCGUUCGACGAUUUCGACACGUCGCAUCCCUGAGAGUCUCUCGUGUCCUGAUCAACUCGAGAACUGGAGGCAGUGACAUUUUAGAUGCUGCAGUGAAAGCCACAGAGCCACGGAAGGCCGAGACUCUACCAUGUUUGUGAUCUUCACAUUCAGCAAACUCACUCGCACUCUGCCUCAUCUUAUCUCUAGAAUGUAUUUUACCACACUGUGUCCCUUCUUUAGUGGGAAUGUCUUUGGCCAAAAAUAAUGAAUAGUUCUGACCUGACUUGCUAAUACCCAGUGAUAAAAGGAUGGAAUUUGUUGGGAAUAAAAGAAAACUAACCUUACAAA